GGGCUAGUGGCGCAACGGAUACCGCGCCUGACUACGGAUCAGGAGAAUCUAGGUUCGACUCCUAGCUAGCUCG